rnacentral:rRNA from 1 species
UUGGAGGGCAAGUCUGGUGCCAGCAGCCGCGGUAAUUCCAGCUCCAAUAGCGUAUAUUAAAGUUGUUGCAGUUAAAAAGCUCGUAGUUGAAUUUCGGGGUUAGUAGGUUGGUCAUGCCUCUGGUAUGUACUGGUCUCACUGAUUCCUCCUACCUGAUGAAUCUUAAUGCCAUUAAUUUGGUGUUUUGGGGAAUUUGGACUGUUACUUUGAAAAAAUUAGAGUGUUUAAAGCAAGCUAACGCUUGAAUACAUUAGCAUGGAAUAAUGAAAUAGGACGUUCGAUCCUAUUUUGUUGGUUUCUAGGAUUGACGUAUGAUUAAUAGGGAUAGUUGGGGGCAUUAGUAUUCAAUUGUCAGAGGUGAAAUUCUUGGAUUUAUUGAAGACUAACUACUGCGAAAGCAUUUGCCAAGGAUGUUUUCAUUAAUCAAGAACGAAAGUUAGGGGAUCGAAGACGAUCAGAUACCGUCGUAGUCUUAACCAUAAACUAUGCCGACUAGGGAUCGGAUGAUGUUAAUUUUUUAAUGACUCAUUCGGCGCCUUACGGGAAACCAAAGUGUUUGGGUUC